AUGAACGCUAGCUACAGGCUUAACACAUGCAAGUCGAGGGGCAGCAUGGUCUUAGCUUGCUAAGGCCGAUGGCGACCGGCGCACGGGUGAGUAACACGUAUCCAACCUGCCGUCUACUCUUGGACAGCCUUCUGAAAGGAAGAUUAAUACAAGAUGGCAUCAUGAGUCCACAUGUUCACAUGAUUAAAGGUAUUCCGGUAGACGAUGGGGAUGCGUUCCAUUAGAUAGUAGGCGGGGUAACGGCCCACCUAGUCUUCGAUGGAUAGGGGUUCUGAGAGGAAGGUCCCCCACAUUGGAACUGAGACACGGUCCAAACUCCUACGGGAGGCAGCAGUGAGGAAUAUUGGUCAAUGGGCGAGAGCCUGAACCAGCCAAGUAGCGUGAAGGAUGACUGCCCUAUGGGUUGUAAACUUCUUUUAUAAAGGAAUAAAGUCGGGUAUGGAUACCCGUUUGCAUGUACUUUAUGAAUAAGGAUCGGCUAACUCCGUGCCAGCAGCCGCGGUAAUACGGAGGAUCCGAGCGUUAUCCGGAUUUAUUGGGUUUAAAGGGAGCGUAGAUGGAUGUUUAAGUCAGUUGUGAAAGUUUGCGGCUCAACCGUAAAAUUGCAGUUGAUACUGGAUAUCUUGAGUGCAGUUGAGGCAGGCGGAAUUCGUGGUGUAGCGGUGAAAUGCUUAGAUAUCACGAAGAACUCCGAUUGCGAAGGCAGCCUGCUAAGCUGCAACUGACAUUGAGGCUCGAAAGUGUGGGUAUCAAACAGGAUUAGAUACCCUGGUAGUCCACACGGUAAACGAUGAAUACUCGCUGUUUGCGAUAUACGGCAAGCGGCCAAGCGAAAGCGUUAAGUAUUCCACCUGGGGAGUACGCCGGCAACGGUGAAACUCAAAGGAAUUGACGGGGGCCCGCACAAGCGGAGGAACAUGUGGUUUAAUUCGAUGAUACGCGAGGAACCUUACCCGGGCUUAAAUUGCAGAUGAAUUACGGUGAAAGCCGUAAGCCGCAAGGCAUCUGUGAAGGUGCUGCAUGGUUGUCGUCAGCUCGUGCCGUGAGGUGUCGGCUUAAGUGCCAUAACGAGCGCAACCCUUGUUGUCAGUUACUAACAGGUCAUGCUGAGGACUCUGACAAGACUGCCAUCGUAAGAUGUGAGGAAGGUGGGGAUGACGUCAAAUCAGCACGGCCCUUACGUCCGGGGCUACACACGUGUUACAAUGGGGGGUACAGAGGGCCGCUACCACGCGAGUGGAUGCCAAUCCCAAAAACCUCUCUCAGUUCGGACUGGAGUCUGCAACCCGACUCCACGAAGCUGGAUUCGCUAGUAAUCGCGCAUCAGCCACGGCGCGGUGAAUACGUUCCCGGGCCUUGUACACACCGCCCGUCAAGCCAUGGGAGCCGGGGGUACCUGAAGUGCGUAACCGCGAGGAGCGCCCUAGGGUAAAACUGGUGACUGGGGCU
rnacentral:rRNA from 1 species